rnacentral:rRNA from 1 species
UGGGGAAUUUUGCACAAUGGGGGAAACCCUGAUGCAGCGACGCCGCGUGAUUUAGAAGGCCUUCGGAUUGUAAAAAUCUUUUCUAUGGGAAGAAAAUGACAGUACCAUAGGAAUAAGGACCGGCUAAUUACGUGCCAGCAGCCGCGGUAAUACGUAAGGUCCGAGCGUUGUCCGGAAUCAUUGGGCGUAAAGGGUACGUAGGCGGGUAAGCAAGUUAGAAGUGAAAUCCUAUAGCUCAACUAUAGUAAGCUUUUAAAACUGCUCAUCUUGAGGUAUGGAAGGGAAAGUGGAAUUCCUAGUGUAGCGGUGAAAUGCGCAGAUAUUAGGAGGAAUACCGGUGGCGAAGGCGACUUUCUGGCCAUAACCUGACGCUGAGGUACGAAAGCGUGGGUAGCAAACAGG